CUUCAGCUUAAUGAAGUCCUAUCAUCGUGUUGCUCAUGACAUUAUAUUCUUACACAGAUGUUUUCAAUAUAUAUAUACUGAAUUGUUGCUCAAGCAUACAACACCUACCCAUUGAGCAGAAAUUUAAAUUCUUGCCUGACAUUUUAAUUAACUUUAUAAAUCUCUCAUAUGUAAUCUUCAAGAUUGACACCAUGGCCAUAUAAAUUGAUUAGUUUUUAUCAUUCUCGUCAAUAGCGGUUACAAUUGUUUGUGUUUAACUAGAGUGCUGGUGAAGAGGAACGGG
rnacentral:misc_RNA from 1 species